GGGGCGCGCCGACAAUGCGCGGGGCUCAAGCACGGCGCCGAAGCGGCGGAAUCAAGCAAUUGAUUGGUAGGGGAGCUUUCCAUGCCGGGCGAAGCCGGAGGCGCGAGCCCCGGUGGACGGCAUGGAAGUGAGGAUGCAGGCAUGAGUAGCGAGAGAGCGGCGAGAAACCGCUCCGCCGAAAACCCAAGGUUUCCUGGGCGAGGCUAAUCCCCCCAGGGUCAGCCGGGAGCUAAGGCGAGGCCGCAAGGCGCAGCCGAUGCACGACGGGCAGACAUUCCCGUGCCGGCGCGGGCGCGCUACGACCGAUGGGACGACGGGGAAGGAUACGCGAGCGGGGUUCUGGACGUCCCCGUGAAAGCGCGUAGGGAGGGGCCCAGGGAAAUCCGGUCCCCACAUAUCCCGAGACGCGAGACGAGCCAUGCGGCGAAGUCGCGGAUUCCAAGCCUCCUAGAAAAAUCCCUAGGCAGCGCCCACGCCGCCCGUACCAAAACCGACACAGGUGGGUAGGAAGAGCAUUCCGAGGCGAUCGGGGCAACCAUGGUCAAGGAACUCGGCAUAAUCGUCCCGUAACUUAGGGAGAAGGGACGCCCCCCAGCGUUCACCGGCUCGCCCGGGAAGCGCCGGGGGGCCGCAGCGAAAGGGCCCAAGCGACUGUUUACCAAAAACACAGGACUCUGCCAAGCCGCGAGGCGAAGUAUAGGGUCUGACGCCUGCCCGGUGCCGGAAGGUCACGGGGAUCCGUUAGCCUUUGGCGAAGCGGUGAACCCAAGCCCCGGUAAACGGCGGCCGUAACUAUAACGGUCCUAAGGUAGCGAAAUUCCUUGUCGGGUAAGUUCCGACCUGCACGAACGGCGCAACGACUUGGGCGCUGUCUCGACCAUGGGCCCGGCGAAAUUGCAUUAUCCGUGAAGAUGCGGAUUCCCCGCGGAAGGACGGAAAGACCCCGUGAACCUUUACUGCAGCUUGGCAUUGGCCGCAGGCGCGGCGCGUAGAGGAUAGGCAGGAGGCUGCGAAGCCCGGGCGCCAGCCCGGGCGGAGCCGACCUUGGAAUACUGCCCCCGUCGCGUCGGCGGCCUAACCCGGGGACGGCCCGGGGACCGUGCCAGGCGGGCAGUUUGACUGGGGCGGUCGCCUCCCAAAGAGUAACGGAGGCGCGCGCAAGGUCCGCUCAGGACGGUCGGCAACCGUCCGAAGAGCGCAAGAGCACAAGCGGGCCUGACUGCGAGGCAGACAAGCCGAGCAGGGACGAAAGUCGGCUCUAGUGAUCCGGCGGCCCCGAGUGGAAGGGCCGUCGCUCAACGGAUAAAAGGUACUCCGGGGAUAACAGGCUGAUCUUGCCCAAGAGUCCACAUCGACGGCAAGGUUUGGCACCUCGAUGUCGGCUCAUCGCAUCCUGGGGCUGGAGUCGGUCCCAAGGGUACGGCUGUUCGCCGUUUAAAGCGGUACGCGAGCUGGGUUCAGAACGUCGUGAGACAGUUCGGUCCCUAUCCUCCGCG
rnacentral:rRNA from 1 species